rnacentral:rRNA from 1 species
AUGUCACCCUCCGAGGACACCUCACUUCCCUUCAAGCUUAAGAGAAAGCAGUUCCCUAUCCGCGUGAGUUUUGUGAUGACCAUUAACAAGGCACAGGGCCAAACCAUCCCAAAUGUUGGUAUUUACCUUCCAGAACCUGUUUUCUCACAUGGCCAACUAUAUGUUGCAUUGUCAAGGGGUGUCUCAAGAAAGACGACGCGGAUUAUAGCCAAGCCUAACAAGGAGGUUGAUAAAUCUGGAAGAAGCACCAAAAACAUUGUCUACAGAGAUGUUUUAGAGGGGUGA